rnacentral:rRNA from 1 species
AACAUCGCCUCCUGCAAAAAUCAAUGUAUAGGAGGUCCUGCCUGCCCAGUGACAACUUGUUAAACGGCCGCGGUAUUUUGACCGUGCUAAGGUAGCGCAAUCACUUGUCUUUUAAAUGAAGACCUGUAUGAAUGGUGGAACGAGGGCUUAACUGUCUCCCUUCUCCCGUCAAUGAAAUUGAUCUGCCCGUGCAGAAGCGGGCAUAUAAAUACAAGACGAGAAGACCCUUUGGAGCUUAUUGGGGCGACCGCGGGGGAAAACAAAGCCCCCACGUAAAACCGAGAGGGACACCUCUAAGCCACAGAAUAUCUGACCAAAAGAUCCGGCCUAUAAGCCGAUCAACGAACCAAGUUACCCUAGGGAUAACAGCGCAAUCCUUUCCAAGAGUUCAUAUCGACGAAAGGGUUUACGACCUCGAUGUUGGAUCAGGACAUCCUAAUGGUGCAGCCGCUAUUAAGGGUUCGUUUGUUCAACGAUUAAAGUCCUACGUGAUCU